rnacentral:miRNA from 1 species
UGCUGUAUUGUCAGGUAGUGA